GAGCGGAUGACGGGAGCUUGCUCCUUGAUUCAGCGGCGGACGGGUGAGUAAUGCCUAGGAAUCUGCCUGGUAGUGGGGGACAACGUUUCGAAAGGAACGCUAAUACCGCAUACGUCCUACGGGAGAAAGCAGGGGACCUUUGGGCCUUGCGCUAUCAGAUGAGCCUAGGUCGGAUUAGCUAGUUGGUGGGGUAAUGGCUCACCAAGGCGACGAUCCGUAACUGGUCUGAGAGGAUGAUCAGUCACACUGGAACUGAGACACGGUCCAGACUCCUACGGGAGGCAGCAGUGGGGAAUAUUGGACAAUGGGCGAAAGCCUGAUCCAGCCAUGCCGCGUGUGUGAAGGAGGUCUUCGGAUUGUAAAGCACUUUAAGUUGGGAGGAAGGGCAGUAAGUUAAUACCUUGCUGUUUUGACGUUACCGACAGAAUAAGCACCGGCUAACUCUGUG
rnacentral:rRNA from 1 species